rnacentral:rRNA from 1 species
AGCAGCCGUGGUAAUUCCAGCUCCAAUAGCGUAUAUUAAAGUUGCUGCAGUUAAAAAGCUCGUAGUUGAAUUUCGGGACCAAUAUGUCGGUCGUGCCUCGGUACGUACUGGCAUCGUUGGUUUCUCCCUUCUGACGAACCAUGAUGUCAUUCAUUUGGUGUCGUGGGGAAUCAGGACUGUUACUUUGAAAAAUUAGAGUGUUUAAAGCAGGCUCACGCUUGAAUACAUUAGCAUGGAAUAAUGAAAUAGGACGUUUGAUUCUAUUUUGUUGGUUUCUAGGAUCGACGUAAUGAUUAAUAGGAUAGUUGGGGCAUUAGUAUUCAAUUGUCAGAGGUGAAAUUCUUGGAUUU